AUUGAACGCUGGCGGCAGGCCUAACACAUGCAAGUCGAGCGGAUGAAGGGAGCUUGCUCCUGGAUUCAGCGGCGGACGGGUGAGUAAUGCCUAGGAAUCUGCCUGGUAGUGGGGGAUAACGUCCGGAAACGGGCGCUAAUACCGCAUACGUCCUGAGGGAGAAAGUGGGGGAUCUUCGGACCUCACGCUAUCAGAUGAGCCUAGGUCGGAUUAGCUAGUUGGUGGGGUAAAGGCCUACCAAGGCGACGAUCCGUAACUGGUCUGAGAGGAUGAUCAGUCACACUGGAACUGAGACACGGUCCAGACUCCUACGGGAGGCAGCAGUGGGGAAUAUUGGACAAUGGGCAAAAGCCUGAUCCAGCCAUGCCGCGUGUGUGAAGAAGGUCUCCGGAUUGUAAAGCACUUUAAGUUGGGAGGAAGGGCAGUAAGUUAAUACCUUGCUGUUUUGACGUUACCAACAGAAUAAGCACCGGCUAACUUCGUG
rnacentral:rRNA from 1 species